GUUUCAAUUCCUCAUAGGCAGGCUAUCGGCUUUAGCGUAGAAAUUUCUGCGUCCCUCUUCUUCGUG
rnacentral:sRNA from 1 species